UACGUAGGGGGCAAGCGUUGUCCGGAUUUAUUGGGCGUAAAGAGCGUGUAGGCGGCCAGGGAGGUCCGUUGUGAAAACUCGAGGCUCAACCUCGAGACGCCGAUGGAAACCCCCUGGCUAGAGUCCGGAAGAGGAGAAUGGAAUUCCUGGUGUAGCGGUGAAAUGCGCAGAUAUCAGGAAGAACACCCGUGGCUAAGGCGGUUCUCUAGUACGGUACUGACGCUGAGGAGCGAAAGCGUGGGGAGCGAACAGG
rnacentral:rRNA from 1 species